rnacentral:piRNA from 1 species
UAUAAGCUCAGAAGAUCUGCCUUUGAAUUCA